GGGACACGUGGUAUCCUGUCUGAAUAUGGGGGGACCAUCCUCCAAGGCUAAAUACUCCUGACUGACCGAUAGUGAACCAGUACCGUGAGGGAAAGGCGAAAAGAACCCCGGCGAGGGGAGUGAAAAAGAACCUGAAACCGUGUACGUACAAGCAGUGGGAGCACGCUUAGGCGUGUGACUGCGUACCUUUUGUAUAAUGGGUCAGCGACUUAUAUUCUGUAGCAAGGUUAACCGAAUAGGGGAGCCGAAGGGAAACCGAGUCUUAACUGGGCGUUAAGUUGCAGGGUAUAGACCCGAAACCCGGUGAUCUAGCCAUGGGCAGGUUGAAGGUUGGGUAACACUAACUGGAGGACCGAACCGACUAAUGUUGAAAAAUUAGCGGAUGACUUGUGGCUGGGGGUGAAAGGCCAAUCAAACCGGGAGAUAGCUGGUUCUCCCCGAAAGCUAUUUAGGUAGCGCCUCGUGAAUUCAUCUCCGGGGGUAGAGCACUGUUUCGGCAAGGGGGUCAUCCCGACUUACCAACCCGAUGCAAACUGCGAAUACCGGAGAAUGUUAUCACGGGAGACACACGGCGGGUGCUAACGUCCGUCGUGAAGAGGGAAACAACCCAGACCGCCAGCUAAGGUCCCAAAGUCAUGGUUAAGUGGGAAACGAUGUGGGAAGGCCCAGACAGCCAGGAUGUUGGCUUAGAAGCAGCCAUCAUUUAAAGAAAGCGUAAUAGCUCACUGGUCGAGUCGGCCUGCGCGGAAGAUGUAACGGGGCUAAACCAUGCACCGAAGCUGCGGCAGCGACACUAUGUGUUGUUGGGUAGGGGAGCGUUCUGUAAGCCUGUGAAGGUGUGCUGUGAGGCAUGCUGGAGGUAUCAGAAGUGCGAAUGCUGACAUAAGUAACGAUAAAGCGGGUGAAAAGCCCGCUCGCCGGAAGACCAAGGGUUCCUGUCCAACGUUAAUCGGGGCAGGGUGAGUCGACCCCUAAGGCGAGGCCGAAAGGCGUAGUCGAUGGGAAACAGGUUAAUAUUCCUGUACUUGGUGUUACUGCGAAGGGGGGACGGAGAAGGCUAUGUUGGCCGGGCGACGGUUGUCCCGGUUUAAGCGUGUAGGUUGGUUUUCC
rnacentral:rRNA from 1 species